GCCGUUGUAGCCCAAUGGUAGAGGCACCAGGUCGAGGGCCUGGACAGCGCGGGUUCGACCCCCGCCGACGGUA
rnacentral:tRNA from 1 species